UCAAGGUUCUCAUACUGUUCCCACUUGAAAAUAAAUAUUAAAACACACUAAAGCUAAGUAGGGUUGAGCCUGACUAGUACCUGGAUGGGAGACCUCCUGAGGAAAACUAAGGUUGCUGCUGGAA
rnacentral:rRNA from 1 species